ACACACGGCGGGUGCUAACGUCCGUCGUGAAGAGGGAAACAACCCAGACCGCCAGCUAAGGUCCCAAAGUCAUGGUUAAGUGGGAAACGAUGUGGGAAGGCCCAGACAGCCAGGAUGUUGGCUUAGAAGCAGCCAUCAUUUAAAGAAAGCGUAAUAGCUCACUGGUCGAGUCGGCCUGCGCGGAAGAUGUAACGGGGCUAAACCAUGCACCGAAGCUGCGGCAGCGACACUGUGUGUUGUUGGGUAGGGGAGCGUUCUGUAAGCCUGUGAAGGUGGCCUGUGAGGGUUGCUGGAGGUAUCAGAAGUGCGAAUGCUGACAUAAGUAACGAUAAAGCGGGUGAAAAGCCCGCUCGCCGGAAGACCAAGGGUUCCUGUCCAACGUUAAUCGGGGCAGGGUGAGUCGACCCCUAAGGCGAGGCCGAAAGGCGUAGUCGAUGGGAAACGGGUUAAUAUUCCCGUACUUGGUGUUACUGCGAAGGGGGGACGGAGAAGGCUAUGUUGGCCGGGCGACGGUUGUCCCGGUUUAAGCGUGUAGGUGUGUGUUCCAGGUAAAUCCGGUUCACUUUAACACUGAGGCGUGACGACGAGGCACUACGGUGCUGAAGCAACAAAUGCCCUGCUUCCAGGAAAAGCCUCUAAGCAUCAGGUAACAUCAAAUCGUACCCCAAACCGACACAGGUGGUCAGGUAGAGAAUACCAAGGCGCUUGAGAGAACUCGGGUGAAGGAACUAGGCAAAAUGGUGCCGUAACUUCGGGAGAAGGCACGCUGACACGUAGGUGAAGUGAUUUACUCAUGGAGCUGAAGUCAGUCGAAGAUACCAGCUGGCUGCAACUGUUUAUUAAAAACACAGCACUGUGCAAACACGAAAGUGGACGUAUACGGUGUGACGCCUGCCCGGUGCCGGAAGGUUAAUUGAUGGGGUCAGCGCAAGCGAAGCUCCUGAUCGAAGCCCCGGUAAACGGCGGCCGUAACUAUAACGGUCCUAAGGUAGCGAAAUUCCUUGUCGGGUAAGUUCCGACCUGCACGAAUGGCGUAAUGAUGGCCAGGCUGUCUCCACCCGAGACUCAGUGAAAUUGAACUCGCUGUGAAGAUGCAGUGUACCCGCGGCAAGACGGAAAGACCCCGUGAACCUUUACUAUAGCUUGACACUGAACAUUGAGCCUUGAUGUGUAG
rnacentral:rRNA from 1 species